rnacentral:rRNA from 1 species
AGAGUUUGAUCAUGGCUCAGGAUGAACGCUGGCGGCGUGCUUAACACAUGCAAGUCGAACGAACCUUCGGGUUAGUGGCGGACGGGUGAGUAACGCGUGAGAAUCUGCCCUCAGGAGGGGGAUAACGGCUGGAAACGGCCGCUAAUACCCCAUAUGCCGCGAGGUGAAAUGAAUUUCGCCUGAGGAUGAGCUCGCGUCUGAUUAGCUAGUUGGUGGGGUAAGAGCUUACCAAGGCUUCGAUCAGUAGCUGGUCUGAGAGGAUGAUCAGCCACACUGGGACUGAGACACGGCCCAGACUCCUACGGGAGGCAGCAGUGGGGAAUUUUCCGCAAUGGGCGAAAGCCUGACGGAGCAACGCCGCGUGAGGGAUGAAGGCCUCUGGGCUGUAAACCUCUUUUAUCAAGGAAGAAGAUCUGACGGUACUUGAUGAAUAAGCCACGGCUAAUUCCGUGCCAGCAGCCGCGGUAAUACGGGAGUGGCAAGCGUUAUCCGGAAUUAUUGGGCGUAAAGCGUCCGCAGGCGGUCUUUUAAGUCUGCUGUUAAAGCGUGGAGCUUAACUCCAUUUCGGCAGUGGAAACUGGAAGACUAGAGUGUGGUAGGGGCAGAGGGAAUUCCCGGUGUAGCGGUGAAAUGCGUAGAUAUCGGGAAGAACACCAGUGGCGAAGGCGCUCUGCUGGGCCAUAACUGACGCUCAUGGACGAAAGCCAGGGGAGCGAAAGGGAUUAGAUACCCCUGUAGUCCUGGCCGUAAACGAUGAACACUAGGUGUCGGGGGAAUCGACCCCCUCGGUGUCGUAGCCAACGCGUUAAGUGUUCCGCCUGGGGAGUAUGCACGCAAGUGUGAAACUCAAAGGAAUUGACGGGGGCCCGCACAAGCGGUGGAGUAUGUGGUUUAAUUCGAUGCAACGCGAAGAACCUUACCAGGGUUUGACAUCCUGCGAAUCCCUUGGAAACGAGGGAGUGCCUUCGGGAACGCAGUGACAGGUGGUGCAUGGCUGUCGUCAGCUCGUGUCGUGAGAUGUUGGGUUAAGUCCCGCAACGAGCGCAACCCACGUCGUUAGUUGCCAGCAUUCAGUUGGGCACUCUAGCGAGACCGCCGGUGAUAAACCGGAGGAAGGUGUGGAUGACGUCAAGUCAUCAUGCCCCUUACAUCCUGGGCUACACACGUACUACAAUGCUACGGACAAAGGGCAGCAAACUCGCGAGAGCUAGCAAAUCCCAUAAACCGUGGCUCAGUUCAGAUCGUAGGCUGCAACUCGCCUACGUGAAGGAGGAAUCGCUAGUAAUCGCAGGUCAGCAUACUGCGGUGAAUACGUUCCCGGGCCUUGUACACACCGCCCGUCACACCAUGGAAGUUGGCCACGCCCGAAGCCGUUACUCCAACCCUUGUGGAGGAGGAUGUCGAAGGUGGGGCUGAUGACUGGGGUGAAGUCGUAACAAGGUAACC